GAAAUGCGAUAAGUAAUGUGAAUUGCAGAAUUCCGUGAAUCAUCGAAUCUUUGAACGCACAUUGCGCCCUCUGGUAUUCCGGGGGCAUGCCUGUCCGAGCGUCAUUGCGAACCCCUCAAGCACGGCUUGUGUGAUGGGCCCUCCCGCGUCUUGGUCGUCAAGACGGGCCCGAAAUGCAGUGGCGGCUUCGCGGUUAUCCGAUCAGCCAGAGCGUAUGGGGACUCUCUCGCUUGUCACACGCCCGCGGCGCGGACCGACGCCUGUCGACCUUUAUUCAUCUUCUCUCGGUUGACCUCGGAUCAGGUAGGGAUACCCGCUGAACUUAAGC
rnacentral:misc_RNA from 1 species